GGGUUUAAAACCAAUUCAUUCUUAUGUUACUUUUCCUUUCCUUUGACAGUCGCAAGAUAUUGAAAAGAAAGUUGAAGAUGGGGGACCAAUAAUGUAAAUUGGUAUUUAAACAAAUUGAUGGUUACGUAACUUUUCCAUGUUAACGUAACGUUGUCUAUUAAUGUCAUAGAGGGGUCGAACCGAUUCUGGCCCCUCAUCCGUUUCCCUCUCGUGCGAAUUAAGAAGUGAUCCCACACCUUCGGUUCCCGCUUGGCGUCGACAGUAAACGAACAAAAAAAAAUCCCGAUACUUUGGCCAUCGUUCCAGCAGGCGUCGAUCAAGGAGAAGAAGCAAAAAAAAACACACACGAUUGGCAUUGAGGGGGAGGUUGCGAUCGGCUUAGUAGGGGCUGUGGGCUCCGAUUUUUGUUUCAAACUCGUUGGAUCGAUCACACACCUUGGUGAAAACUUGACAACUUCAAGAAGGGUCAAGGCUUGAAUUAGAAAGGAGAACUCGCUUCAAACAUAAGGUAUCUUAGGAGCAUGGCUUGGUGAGGUUGGGUUCCUUUUGGGUAGUUAGUUUUAAUAAAGAUGCCACAUGAACACGUUUGGUUUUUAUUUUCCUUUGAACUCCUUUUUGCAAUAAUUAAAUGGUUUAAUGUUGUUUAUGAAAAUGGUAACGUGUGGUUUUGAAAAUGUUUUGAAUUAAAAAGAAACUAAGUCUUCCGCUAACGUAUUUUGUUAAAUAAAUGUUUUAAAAAGAAAAAAAAAUUAUGGUGAAAAUCACGACGUUACAAGUUGGUAUCAGAGCCAUGCUGGGAGUGAACUGAAUGCAGAUGCCGGUGUUCAGACUCACAACUUAGUUGGCUCAGUUAGGACCUUUACGUACUUAAAGGGGGGAGGGUGUGUGUUGAGCGUUUUAGGAUAAUGCUUGUAAAAUAUUUCCAUUCCUAAUAUUUGUUUAUGUAUAAAAGAAAUGAAACUCUUUAUGAAUUAGGAUAAUGUCGAAUGCUAUGGAGAAUGUGAAUGAUGGAGAAGCGGGCGGCAGCCAGAACAACCGCACUCCCGGGACGCCGCCGUUCAUGUUUCAGACCCCACCUAUUAACCGCCAGCCACGAGCCCAACCAUCACGGAGUGCACGCAACACAUCAAGUGCCGCCAUCAUUGCUGAUCUUCAGGAGCAGCUCCAGGAGCGGGAUAGGACGUUGGAGCAGAUGCGGCAGGCGAUGCAUGCCGCCGGACUCUUGCCACUUGAGGGCGUGAACGAGGGUGGAGAUCAAUCGUUUGAUGAUGAGGCACAUAGUCGUUCCGUGUCAAGGCAGGAGGUUGUUGGAGCUGCUAGACGUCGAGGGAGUUCAUUCAAAACCUUCAUGGAUUGUAAGCCGCCUACCUUUGAAGGAGGCGAGAGUGUCGUGGCGUGCCUUCGUUGGAUUAGGAAGAUGGACCAAACCUUCUGAUCUGGUGAAUUUAAUGAGGACCAGAAGGUGAAUUAUGCGGUGCAAACAUUUGACAAGGAAGCACUCGAGUGGUGGGACGCUAUUG